UGGGUGGGAAUGGAGAUUUUGCAAUAUCCUUCCCCAGGAGUGGGGGGGGGGAACAGGGAUUUUGCAGUAUCCUUCCCCUGGAGUGGGAUGGGAAUGGAGAUUUUGCCGUAUCCUUUCCCUGCCCCCACCAAGCCACCCCACAUCCACAGAACCAGUAGUAAAAAAAAUUGAAUUCCACCACUGGUAUUCAGUUCCUAGAAAAAGUGGGGCUUUUAUGAGUAACUAUGUAGUCUUGGUAAUCAGAAAAUGUACCCAAUCUUACAGAAAAUGAAGGUGAACUCAUCAAUUGCUGAAUUACAGCAACCAUUCCACUGGGAUGAGAAAGAUUACAUUAUGUGAGACUAGAAUGUGCCUCUGCAAAUAUUUUUCCCCUUUUUCAACAUGAACAAAAAGGGAACUAUUACAUAGAAGGAUUUUGGAUUCACUUCCUCUGAACCUUUCAACUCCAGCCAUUAAGAUCAAGGAGAUUCCAUUCAAAUUCAAAUCCAGAAAGGAUUACUUUGGCCAGUCACUCUUGGCCUACCUUGUCUCAUAUGGUUCUUGAGCAUCUGAAAAAAGAGCAGAUUAUAAAUGAAGAUAGGGAUUAUGUGGCCUGUAUCCUGCAGGAAGGCUAAGUCUACAGUUAAUAAACUCAAAUCUGCGCAUGAAUUAUAUUUAGAUUUCAGAUGGAUAUAAUUUGGAAUAAACUAAUCUGAUACCAAAAGGGGAUGAGAUGGCUCAGUGGCUAAGACGUUAAGCUUAUCAGAAAGGUCAGCAUCUUGGUGGUUCGAAUCCUUAGCGCAACAUAACAAAGUGAGCUCCCAUUACUUGCUCCACCUUCUGCCAACCUAGCAGUUUGAAAGCAUGUAAAAAUGCAAGUAGAAAAAUAGGGACCACCUUCGUGGGAAGGUAACAGCGCUCCGUGCGCCUUCGAUGUUUAGUCAUGCUGGCCACAUGACCAUAGAAUUGUCAACAGACCGCUGGCUCUUCAGCUUAAAAACUGAGAUGAGCACCGCCCCCUAGAGUCAGAAAUGACUAACACACAUGUGUGAGGGGAACCUUUACCAAUCUGAUAUCAAGAGAUACCAAGUCUUAAAUAUCUUUAAUCCAGUGUUCAUUGUGGUUUGUUCUUGUUUGAUAAUUUCUUAUGAGGUAUCAACAACAAACAGCUUCAGCAUUUCAAACUAUUUAAGAUAGUUUGGCUUGGCAUAUAGCAUCAUUUAGCAAGGAAGCUAUACAAUUUUAAAAUCAUAAUAACUGAACAAAAACAGAAAAGAAAUAAAAAAAAUAAAGCAAAUCCAAAAUACUGUGGUAUAUAAUCAAAGAAAGUACACAUUUUCAUCAUUCAAUUAAAAUUUUACAUACUGUAGAAAUCAUUAAGUUACUUAAGUUCAUGUUAAAUCAAUUCCUGAAAGGGAAAGCACGCAUAGAAAAGAUAACUAUCCCACGCCUUGGUUACCUCUAUGUAAACAGUGGGACUUUCAGGCAGCCUGCAUAAAUAUAUCUAAUGCAAACAGAAACAAUUUAUAAAAGAUCAUGAAAUAAUAAAAGCAGGUAUUUAAUGCCAAGGAUAAAUAUGGGAAAAGAAAUGUGUAGAUUUCCUCAUGCCUGCUUUAUUUUUACAAUGAAAAAACAAAUUUGUUCAGUAGUUUAGAUUGUAAGAUUUGAUUGUUAAUAAGAUUACCGUAUUUUUCAGAGUAUAAGAUGCUCCGGACUAUAAGACGUACCUACCUUUUUUGGGGAGGAAAACAAGAAAAAAACCCUGCCUCUUCCCCUGGCUUCCAGCCAUUUUCCUCCUUGCAGCAAACAGCCUGCUUUAGUUUCAUUUUUGUUUUCAGCAGAGUCUAAUUAGCACAAGGGAAAAAAAUCUGCCUCCCAGCAAUUUGCCAGCUUGCAGCAAACAGUGGAGGCCGAAAAGGGGCCGUAUGGAGGUGGCAGUGGCAAUCCCUGCAGCCUGAAACAACUGAGGAUCGGGAGGCUGAUCCAACCAACAAUCAACUGUUUGUGCUAAUCAGGCUGUGCUGAAGCUGAAAUGGGCUGUUUGCUGCAAGGAGGUAAAUUGCUGGGAGCCAGAGCCCAAAGGGUGGGGGCUGGCAUAUACAUUUGGUGUAUAAGAUGCACCCAAAUUUUCACUGUCUUUUGCGGGGGGGGGGAGUCAUCUUAUGCUCCAAAAAAUACGGUAUAUCUUUUGAGACUCAAUAGUUUAGUUCACCUGACUGGUUUCAUUAUCUUCAAAUAAACAGCAUAGUACUAAAAGUACUAAAUUUGAAAAUCUUAUAACAUCUAACUUAGAACAUCUGCUGGGUCUUAUUUAUAAAUUGUUGAUUAUGAUUCGGAAACCAAAAAGUUAAUGGUUAUAUGAUUGCAUGGAUGAAGAAUUUAGAUGAAAUAACAGAUAUGCAACAACUGGAAUUUCAGUUGAAGAAUAGUCCAAAUGUCACAUUUAAAGUAAAUUGAUAUAAGAUCUCUUGUUGCUAUAUUAAUCCAUUCCUUAUUGCUAAAACAAAUAAUUCAUUAUCUAAAUAUUAUUAGAAAUGUAAUUAGCAGCUUGGAUCAUUCCUUCACACUUGGAAGCAAUAUUGUAAAGCUCACAGUUUUGGAAAAUGAUUCAUGCUAAAAUGAAUCAAUUUCAGAUUCCAUUUAACUUGUGUUAUUUUAGUUAAACUUUUAUUAAACAUCAAAUAUUGGCUUGGUAUAUAGUAACUGUUGCAUAAUAUAUCUCUUAUUGGAAAGAAUGUUUCAUACACUCUAUGGAGGAAUUGAUAACCAAGCUGUCAAAAUAUACUUUGCUAUUCAGAAUAACUUCACAUCUAAAAGUAAACAUUCCCAGAUUCUAAUGCAAUAUGCACAAGAUACAUGUUUUUGUGUGCAUUCAUAAUUUUAUUUUGUUGUUUAUACUAUGCUGAGCAUGGUUUCUGAUAUUGAUAUUUUAUACAGCUUUAAUGGUGAUUUUCAUUUGUUUAACAUGAAUUAUUAUUCAUUGACAAUCGAUGAUAUACAGGUAGUCCUCAAUUUACAAUCCUAAUUGAACCUAAAAUGUCUGUUGCUAAGUGAGACAGUUGUUAAGGAACCUUUGUCUCAUGUUGCUAUCUUUCUUGCCACAGUUAAGUGUAUCACUGCAGUUAUUCACUUAGUAACAUAAUUGAUAAUGGCUUCCCCUUUGACUUAGCUCAUCAGGAGAUUACAAAGGGGAUCACAUGAUCCCAGGACACUGCAACUGUCAAAAAUAUGAGCCAGUUGCUCACCGUCUGAAUUUUGAUCACAUGACUGUGGGGAUGCCACAACAUUGUAAGUGUGAAAGAAGCUCAUGAGUCACUUUUUUCAGUGCUGUUGUAACUUCAAAAGUCACUAAAUGAAUGGUUAUAAGUCAAGGACUAUGUGUAUUGGAAAAUUAUAUCUUCUGGAACUUUUAUAAAAUAAGACUACAGUUCUGUUUCUGCUUAUCUAGGAAUGAUCCCUUUAAAAUCAGUAUGUAAGAUUUAAAGCAUAUAUAGAAAGGAACUAAAAACCCACGCUUUUUAAAGACUACAUCUCUUCAAAAUGUUUACAGCUUUUGCUCUGCUGAAAAAAAGAACCUAGUGAUCCUUAUUAUUUUUUUCUUUACUGCAAGAGAACACACAUGGACUAUUCUGUGAAGCAAACCAAUAAAGAAAAAAGUCUUUCCAUCUAGGACUGCAAUCUGAGAUACCAAAUCCUUGUGCCAAUAUGUCCAGAUUUGACAGAAGCCCCCUGAGGCUCUGUUUUUGGCAACACAGUGUGGUUUUUGUAGUUUUAUUGCCAGGACCCUGGUGCUUGGUUAAAUUAUGCUUUUAUGACCUAAUGUAGCUCUCCAGGUUUCCACUUGGACUGACAUUUGUUUAUCUGACUGUUUUGCAUAUUACACGACUAAGCAGACAAGGGGGCAUUUACCAUGUUGCCCUGACCAGCAGGGAAAUGGCUGAUGCUCAAUCUGCUGUGAGUCAAAAGAAUGGAAAGAUCAGUGAAGACUUGUUUAGUGUGUGGGAGGGGGGGAAUAUGCAAUAUUUGCAGGACUUGGCAUUGUUUUCCUUUGUUCUUUAAUCAUACCUGGAAAAUCUAGAUACCACAUCAGUGUAAAAUGUGCACACACAAAUGUAUAUACAUAUGGUUCUGCUAUAUUUCAUGCUAAGUGUCACAUUUAGCAUUACUGGUCAUGUGCAAAUUUCAGUUUUAUAGCUUAAAAAUCAUACAGUAUCCAUAGAAUUCAUAGCAGUUGUAAAUGCCUUGAGUAACUACUCUUUGUUCAGAUUGUUACAGUGGUAGCAUUCCAUUUCAAACCAAUUUCGUAUAUGGUUCAAUCAGGAAGGACAUCAUAUUCAAAUUGGUAUGAAUCUGAAUUAAACUGAACUUCAACCUCAAGGUGAAAUGAAACGGUUAAAAUGAGCUUCUUUUUUAUCAAUAAUAUUUACUUUGUAAAAAUACUUUUAAAAUGAAUUUCUUUAUUAACAAUAACAGUAAAAUAAGUAAGUAAAUGAGCUUCUUAAACUGGGUAUUGGGAAAUAUUUGAACUUCACAGUAUUAUAGUGUAAUUUGCUUUAUGAUAGUCUAGCUGUUUGCCAAUUUAGGCCAACAUUGUCUAGAGUGAAUCAUAAUUACUUUCAGGUUACUGCCUUUGAUCAAUUAAAUUGAGUUUCUGUCAUUUGCAGGAUCUCAGUACAUUAUACAACUCACAUUCUGGUACAGUUUCUUGAAAAGGAGCAGAAAAAACAUAUCACAAAACAGGGCAGCCCAGAUUCCAUCCACAUUAUUACAUAGAGAUAAAGAUCUUGGACCAAGAAAGUACACAUGAAGGAAGCUUUUAGAUUCUAAAAUAAUCUAAAAGAUUCUUAAAUACAAGAUGAGAGAUGAGAUAUUCAUAAAAUAAGUAUGCAUAAAACCAAGAUUCUUUGGGCUAUUAAAUGUUAAAAACUCAUUUAUUAGUCUGAUAUGAAGAUGAAAGAUAACUUACUUUAGGUCGAUUUUUAAACAAUUCUAACUCUGGCAAAGGUUUCUAGCAAUUUUGAUUGCACAGUUUAAAUUUAUACUGCAGUCUUUACCUUAAAAAUUACAUACAGAAUUGAACAUACAGAAAAGCUGCAUACAAACAUGGUACCAAAAAGAUUUAAUAUAUUGGUCAUUUGGUCCUGAAAAGAAGUAAUAAAUGCUUUUGAUCUUUCUUUGAAGCAGCAGUACAAGGUUAAACUGCCCUUUUAGAAACAACCAGAUGCCCAUAAAAGUGGAUUCUUUUCUUUAAUAGGAAGUUGCCAAGGCCUGUCCAGCUGUGCUGGUUUGUAAACAGAUUAGUUUUAAACACUCAGUAGCCUGAUUUACUUUGUUUAAAGCAGUAUGUUUUAGCCUAUUGGCCAGCCUCAACAAGCUGUGCAAUGUCCUGCAGAUUUCCCGUCAGCUAAAAAUGGCCAUUAGGUAAUUAUACUCAAAGUUAAAUAGACAUGUUUAAGACUGGAGUUGUUUACUUUCCAUUUUACUCACAUGUUCCAGUGUUUUAAAGGAAAGCCUGAUAGAAUAUUUAUAUUUCGUCUUUUUGAUGUACAAGCAUUCUGUGCUUGUGCUGGAAUUUGGAAAUAGAAGCUAACAUGUUUUUUUAGCACAAUGACAUGCUCUUUUGAUGCAAAGAGUAACAGCUGUAUGAAACCAUACCUAUCGGCUAGCUAAGGAUACCCAGGACAGAGUUUCAUUUUAUCCCCUCCUAUUGAUCAGUGACCAUAAUAAAGAACCAAGCUGAGCAAUUUCUUUAUCUUCCCCAGUUAAAAUGCCAUGCAGUCUGCACAUUUUAUAUUCUUCAUUGAAAAACAGAAGCAAAAGAAACACAUCUCUCACAGGAAACCAUGCCCCCAAUUUUACUUUUUCAGCAUUUUUAAAAAAGCUAUUGUCCGAUUCAGUAAGAAGGGACUUUUAAAAAUACCAGUUAUCUUGCUAUGAUAUAGAAAGAUGAUAACACUAUAGGAUACUUUACAACUUAUUUACAGUGCAUCAUUAAAUUUUACUCUUUCUACUGUGCACCACUUGAGAAUUUAAAUGAGUGUGCUGGUGUAGUUAAAUAUAUUUUGUCAAUCGUUGAUUUGAUUUGAUUUUUUUAAAAAUGAAACAUCUUAAAAAUAAACUUAUGUUCUGUUUCUAAUUGUUAUAAUACUUCAUUAUUCCCACCAAGAUCUAUAUUCCCUGCCCAUGAACAAGAAAUCACUUGUAUAUGACAGCAUUGCCAGUUUGUCUAUGAUUAAGUGACCAGACUAAAAACCAGAAGACUAAAUUCUAGACCCAGUUUAGGCAUGAAAAAUCAACUGGAUAGCUGGGCUGAUCACUCUCUUUCAGCAUAAUCCACCUCACAAUGUUAUUGUGGAAAAAAUAGGCAGAGGACAGUGUAUUAGGUAUGUUCACUGCCUUGAAUUAUUUAUAAAAGUAAUAAAAGUCAGGAUAAAAAUAAAAGAGAAGAUAUCUCCCUAUGUCAGAAAGCCAUGUCCCAGUUUAUGUUCUCCAACACUGUGUUCUAGAGAAGAGUCUAAGCAAGGAAAUCUUAUCUAGAGGUAGCUUAUAUUAUUCUGACUACAUUCAGCUUCCUUUAGGAAAACUUACAAAAUUUUCACAGCAACAUUUAAAGGUAUAUUUUUGCUAAAAUAUAUUGUAGGAAAUAAAACUUGGACUUCAUUUUCUUUGUUCCUAAUCUAUCUCCAGGCAUGUGAAUACAUCUGAAUACAUUUCUACAUGUGAAUACAUUUAUAUUGCAUGAUGUGUUGAAAAUGAUUGUCUUUUCUUUUUUAAAAAGAACAAUGAAAAAUUGAUCAGAAUCUGAAUACUGUGUAUUGUGAAUUUCCAUAAAACGCUGAGAAGAUUAUGGGGCAACAACACUUUUGAAAGGUCAAUAAUCUCUUCCAACUUCCACUCAAAAUGGUGCCUUUUUAUAAACACAAAAGCGCAGAAACAAUCCCAUGUUUCCAGAGCAAAGCAAGGAAACUGUGCUGGAGGAUAGAAGAAAGACACAUGGGUCAUAAAUUGGAGUCAGAGGCACAUUCCUCGGCAGACAUCCUCUUUCUUGCAAUUGGCAGGGACCUGUAAGAUGAAGUGUUAUGCUUUUAUUUACCAUAACAACUCUUUUCACUGCUGUGCAUGGCUUUUUGCCACUUCUGAACUAUUUCAGCUUCUUGGUUCUUAAAAACAGGAAUUUUCACACAGAACUUUUAGGAAGGCUCUAAAGCAUAUUCAGUUCAGUUUAAUGAUCCUUUUUUUUAAGUAUGCUAUGCAAAUACUUUCUCUCACACACUAACUACUGUGGCAUCAUCCUAUGAUAAAUUGGGAAUCUAAAGCAUAAGUUUAAAACAGACAAAUGGCUGCUUUCCUGCCAACAACGGUUAAAACCGUAACUUUUUAUGUACUGUAACAUUCUGAUUAUUUCAAGAGUAUUUGUUGAUGGUAAUUAACUCUGGAGUGGAUUGGGCACAUAGAUGGGUAGUUUAGAAGAUUUUCUUUUGUUUUAUGUAUGAGCUGUACUUGGAUAAUUGAAAAGUUUUAAAGGCCAUGCACCACAUAAACCAGAUAAUAAAUCUAUUGUAAUCUAAUAGUAACAAAACAACUGAAGUAGUAAGUACUUAAGUGAACACUAUAUCUCUUUCAUGAUACUUUUCACAAUGUUUAAGUCUAGAAUAAUUGACCAUAGUUAUAAUUACUCGAUAGUAAGAGAAAACAAAUGUAAAGGUUGAUGAUGCAGAGCUUUCACUUACUUGCACUGAAUUGUGGCACAAUAUGCCUAAUCAGCCUCUCUGUCAGAUCCUAAUAAUGUUGCCUUCAAAUGGUCACCAAGCCAUAUCAGAGGCAGUCUUUAAGUCCUUCCUCAAUAGCUAUUCUGAUGAUAAAGGAAUGUUUCCCUUUUUAUCCAGACAUAUUUGUCUGUGUAUAUAAUUCAACAUCUUUAUAUAUAUCAACAUCUGUGUAUAUAAUUCAACAUCUUUGUCAAUCAUUCUAUUGGAGACAUGAUCAAGUUUGAGGAUGGCCCAGUUUCAAUGGUUGUUUUAAGUGGGUGAGACUAACUUGUUUUAAGUGGGUGAGACUAACUACAUCUUCUUGGUCUCUAGGCAUCAUUUGGUUCCAUGAUGAUCUGGAUAUUAGAAGAACCUACAUCUUUCAAACUGGCCUUUUUUCUUAUGUCCACCAGAUCUUUGAAUUUUGAAAGACAGAUCAACCCAACAAAUGGGUAGCAGGGAUGGAGGGUGAGGAAACUCCCUCAGAGGUUUCCCAAGCCUUACCCCAUAUAAGUUAUUAUUUUCUUUUGAAAGGUGAUAAAUGAAAGUGAAUUCAAUUGUUGUUGAAUUAUAUUCCAAAAUUUAAAAAUGUAUCCAUUAUGAUGAGCUUUGGGUAUUGAAUGUCUGAAUUCAGUUAUAAAUAAGGAACCAUAUGCCUUUAGAAGAAUUAGUGCAUAGGUAUUAAUCUUUGAAGGAAGUCUGAACAAAAUUGGCUUAACUUUUGAACAGAGUUUUGUAUUGCUGGAGAGGCAAGAUUGGACAAUAUAAAAUCAUGGUUUCAAUUAUGAUGUUCAAAUAUUGUAUUGUUUUGUAUAUGAUUUUACCAUUUUUGCUAAAAUAAAAAAUUAGAAAAUAUAUUGUGUAAUCACAUUUUUCUUCUGAUUAUUUUAUCCUGUAUUUUUCAACUUUUUUAUGCGUAUAGUUUUUAAAGAUAGUUUACAACGUAUUCCUAUUCCAUUGUAUUAUUUGUACUUUCUGAAAAAUAAAUCUGAAGAAAACUGGUUUAGAACUGCCACCCACCCCUUUGUCACCUUGUAAAAUAAAUUUAAAAAUCUAUAUGCAUCUUUGAGAAUUUCAUUAAAACAAAAUUUCCCCAAGGUAAAAAUGACCCAACCUUAUUAGAAGAGAAUGCUUAGAAAAUAUGCCAAAGGAGUUUUUAACUUACCAUUAGUUUUUUUAUCCCAGCAAUCCUGGUCUUUUUUUUAUUGCUAAUGGAACAUAUUUUAAUUAUUAUGAUGGGUUGCACAGCCACAUAUUUAGACUGGAUUAAGCAUUUUUAACCACCUACACA